rnacentral:rRNA from 1 species
GAUGAACGCUGGCGGCGUGCCUAAUACAUGCAAGUCGAGCGAACGGACGAGAAGCUUGCUUCUCUGAUGUUAGCGGCGGACGGGUGAGUAACACGUGGAUAACCUACCUAUAAGACUGGGAUAACUUCGGGAAACCGGAGCUAAUACCGGAUGAUAUUUUGAACCGCAUGGUUCAAAAGUGAAAGACGGUCUUGCUGUCACUUAUAGAUGGAUCCGCGCUGCAUUAGCUAGUUGGUAAGGUAACGGCUUACCAAGGCAACGAUGCAUAGCCGACCUGAGAGGGUGAUCGGCCACACUGGAGCUGAGACACGGUCCAGACUCCUACGGGAGGCAGCAGUCGGGAAUCUUCCGCAAUGGGCGAAAGCCUGACGGAGCAACGCCGCGUGAGUGAUGAAGGUCUUCGGAUCGUAAAACUCUGUUAUUAGGGAAGAACAUAUGUGUAAGUAACUGUGCACAUCUUGACGGUACCUAAUCAGAAAGCCACGGCUACCUACGU